CAUCAAGUAGUUUAUUAAAAAUAUAAAUUUUGGAGAUUUAAGUUAUCAUUAUAGGUCUUGAUGA
rnacentral:tRNA from 1 species